GACGAACGCUGGCGGCGUGCCUAAUACAUGCAAGUAGAACGCUGAAGGAGGAGCUUGCUUCUCUGGAUGAGUUGCGAACGGGUGAGUAACGCGUAGGUAACCUGCCUGGUAGCGGGGGAUAACUAUUGGAAACGAUAGCUAAUACCGCAUAAUAGUAGAUGUUGCAUGACAUUUGCUUAAAAGGUGCAAUUGCAUCACUACCAGAUGGACCUGCGUUGUAUUAGCUAGUUGGUGGGGUAACGGCUCACCAAGGCGACGAUUCAUAGCCGACCUGAGAGGGUGAUCGGCCACACUGGGACUGAGACACGGCCCAGACUCCUACGGGAGGCAGCAGUAGGGAAUCUUCGGCAAUGGACGGAAGUCUGACCGAGCAACGCCGCGUGAGUGAAGAAGGUUUUCGGAUCGUAAAGCUCUGUUGUAAGAGAAGAACGAGUGUGAGAGUGGAAAGUUCACACUGAGACGGUAUCUUACCAGAAAGGGACGGCUAACUACGUG
rnacentral:rRNA from 1 species